rnacentral:rRNA from 1 species
GACGAACGCUGGCGGCGUGCCUAAUACAUGCAAGUAGAACGCUGAAGAGAGGAGCUUGCUCUUCUUGGAUGAGUUGCGAACGGGUGAGUAACGCGUAGGUAACCUGCCUUGUAGCGGGGGAUAACUAUUGGAAACGAUAGCUAAUACCGCAUAACAAUGGAUGACACAUGUCAUUUAUUUGAAAGGGGCAAUUGCUCCACUACAAGAUGGACCUGCGUUGUAUUAGCUAGUAGGUGAGGUAACGGCUCACCUAGGCGACGAUACAUAGCCGACCUGAGAGGGUGAUCGGCCACACUGGGACUGAGACACGGCCCAGACUCCUACGGGAGGCAGCAGUAGGGAAUCUUCGGCAAUGGGGGCAACCCUGACCGAGCAACGCCGCGUGAGUGAAGAAGGUUUUCGGAUCGUAAAGCUCUGUUGUAAGUCAAGAACGAGUGUGAGAGUGGAAAGUUCACACUGUGACGGUAGCUUACCAGAAAGGGACGGCUAACUACGUGCCAGCAGCCGCGGUAAUACGUAGGUCCCGAGCGUUGUCCGGAUUUAUUGGGCGUAAAGCGAGCGCAGGCGGUUUGAUAAGUCUGAAGUUAAAGGCUGUGGCUCAACCAUAGUUCGCUUUGGAAACUGUCAAACUUGAGUGCAGAAGGGGAGAGUGGAAUUCCAUGUGUAGCGGUGAAAUGCGUAGAUAUAUGGAGGAACACCGGUGGCGAAAGCGGCUCUCUGGGUCUGUAACUGACGCUGAGGCUCGAAAGCGUGGGGAGCGAACAGG